CCUACGGGAGGCAGCAGUGGGGGAUAUUGCACACUGGGGGAAACCCUGAUGCAGCGACGCCGCGUGGGUGAAGAAGCGCCUCGGCGCGUACAGCCCUGUCAGCAGGGAAGAAAAUGACGGUACCUGAAGAAGAAGCCCCGGCUAACUACGUGCCAGCAGCCGCGGUAAUACGUAGGGGGCAAGCGUUAUUCGGAUUUACUGGGUGUAAAGGGGGCGCAGACGGCGGUGCAAGCCAGGAGUGAAAGCCCGGGGCCCAACCCCGGGACUGCUCUUGGAACUGCGUGGCGAGAGUGCAGGAGGGGCAGGCGGAAUUCCUGGUGUAGCGGUGAAAUGCGUAGAUAUCAGGAGGAACACCGGUGGCGAAGGCGGCCUGCUGGACUGCAACUGACGUUGAGGCCCGAAAGCGUGGGGAGCAAACAGGAUUAGAUACCCGUGUAGUC
rnacentral:rRNA from 1 species